GGCUCCUAACUUACAAUGAUGAUGAUCUAAUUUCACAAUGAUACAGAAGCAGGGGCUCUCAACAGACACCAUGCUCAACUUCCAAUUUUGAUCUUAGCUACACUGGUGAUAUACAGAAAGCUUUUCACAGUGCUGGAGAGGGCAGCAAAAGACCACCAUGUUUGGCUGAAAUCCCCUGGAAUUUUCCUAGGAUCCAUGAGGUGACAAUGUUUUCAACAGCAGAAGCACAUGCUGUCAUAGAAGGGACAACUGUCACCAUUAGAAGCAUCUGGCUCAGCCUCACUCAACUCAUCACAUGCUCAACUAUGCUGAUUGAGUCACUGACCCUCUCUGAGUUUCUGUUUCCACAUCUGUAAAUAUUAUUGGAUACUAAAAUUAAAACACCCAUCAAAGUAA